GGGUUUGUGGCUCAGUGGUAGAGUGCAUGCCUAGAAUGUGUGAAGUACUGGGUUCGAUCCUCAGCACCA
rfam:Ictidomys tridecemlineatus contig048186, whole genome shotgun sequence.